rnacentral:rRNA from 1 species
UACGUAGGGCGCAAGCGUUGUCCGGAAUUAUUGGGCGUAAAGAGCGUGUAGGCGGCUUUACAGGUCCGUUGUGAAAACUCGAGGCUCAACCUCGAGACGCCGGUGGAAACCGUAAGGCUAGAGUCCGGAAGAGGAGAGUGGAAUUCCUGGUGUAGCGGUGAAAUGCGCAGAUAUCAGGAGGAGCACCCGUGGCGAAAGCGGCUCUCUGGGACGGUACUGACGCUGAGACGCGAAAGCGUGGGGAGCAAACAGG